GGGGAUGUAGCUCAACUGGGAGAGCACCUGCUUUGCACGCAGGGGGUUGUCGGUUCGAUUCCGGUCAUCUCCA
rnacentral:tRNA from 1 species